GGAGGAUUGGCCGAGCGGUUCAAGGCGCUCCCUUGCUAAGGGAAAGUCCGGCAAAACCGGACGCCAGGGUUCGAAUCCCUGAUCCUCCGCCA
rnacentral:tRNA from 1 species